rnacentral:tRNA from 1 species
GGGGAUUUCACUCAGUGGCAUAAGUGCCUGCCUUGCAAGCAGGCAGUUGUGAGUUCAAUCCCCG